rnacentral:rRNA from 2 species
ACGUAGGUCCCGAGCGUUGUCCGGAUUUAUUGGGCGUAAAGCGAGCGCAGGCGGUUAGAUAAGUCUGAAGUUAAAGGCUGUGGCUUAACCAUAGUAUGCUUUGGAAACUGUUUAACUUGAGUGCAGAAGGGGAGAGUGGAAUUCCAUGUGUAGCGGUGAAAUGCGUAGAUAUAUGGAGGAACACCGGUGGCGAAAGCGGCUCUCUGGUCUGUAACUGACGCUGAGGCUCGAAAGCGUGGGGAGCAAACAG